GAUGAAGAACGUAGCGAAAUGCGAUAAGUAAUGUGAAUUGCAGAAUUCAGUGAAUCAUCGAAUCUUUGAACGCACCUUGAGCUCCUUGGUAUUCCGAGGAGCAUGCCUGUUUGAGUGUCAUUAAUAUAUCAACCUUCUCUUUUUUGAGUUGUUUGGAUGUGGGGGUUUGCUGGCCUCUUAAAUGAUUCAGCUCCCCUGAAAUGCAUUAGCAGAACAACCUGUUCAUUGGCGUGAUAAUUAUCUAUGCUAUUGAAUGUGAGGGCAGUUCAGCUUUCUAACCGUCCUUGGAAAAUUCAUCAUUAAUGUGACCUCAAAUCAGGUAGGACUACCCGCUGAACUUAAGCAUAUCAAUAAGCGGAGGA
rnacentral:misc_RNA from 1 species